UACGGGGGGUGCGAGCGUUGUCCGGAAUCACUGGGCGUAAAGGGCGCGUAGGUGGUCUUUUAAGUCCGUUGUGAAAGCCCUGGGCUCAACCUGGGAAUGGCAGUGGAUACUGGAAGGCUGGAGUACGGUAGAGGAGGGUGGAAUUCCCGGUGUAGCGGUGAAAUGCGUAGAGAUCGGGAGGAACAUCAGUAGCGAAGGCGGCCCUCUGGACCAGUACUGACGCUGAGGCACGAAAGCGUGGGGAGCAAACAGG
rnacentral:rRNA from 1 species